rnacentral:rRNA from 1 species
ACGGGGGGGGUAAGCGUUGUUCGGAAUUACUGGGCGUAAAGGGCUCGUAGGCGGCCAACUAAGUCGGACGUGAAAUCCCUCAGCUUAACUGGGGAACUGCGUCCGAUACUGGAUGGCUUGGAUUUGGGAGAGGGAUGCGGAAUUCCUGGUGUAGCGGUGAAAUGCGCAGAUAUCAGGAGGAACACCGAUGGCGAAGGCAGCUCGCUGGGACGGUACUGACGCUGAGACGCGAAAGCGUGGGGAGCAAACAGGA